CAGCCGCCGCGGUAAUACGGAGGGUGCAAGCGUUAAUCGGAAUUACUGGGCGUAAAGCGCACGCAGGCGGUUUGUUAAGUCAGAUGUGAAAUCCCCGAGCUUAACUUGGGAACUGCAUUUGAAACUGGCAAGCUAGAGUCUUGUAGAGGGGGGUAGAAUUCCAGGUGUAGCGGUGAAAUGCGUAGAGAUCUGGAGGAAUACCGGUGGCGAAGGCGGCCAUCUGGCCUAAUACUGACGCUGAGGUACGAAAGCAUGGGGAGCAAACAGGAUUAGAUACCCGCGUAGUCCCUGUCUCUUAUAC
rnacentral:rRNA from 1 species